rnacentral:rRNA from 1 species
CCCUUAGAUGUUCUGGGCCGCACGCGUGCUACACUGAUGCAUUCAACGAGUCUAAAACCUGGUCUGAUAGGGCUGGGUAAUCUUUUGAAAGUGCAUCGUGAUUGGGAUAGAUGAUUGCAAUUCUUCAUCUUCAACGAGGAAUGCCUAGUAAACGCAAGUCAUCAGCUUGCAUUGAUUACGUCCCUGCCCUUUGUACACACCGCCCGUCGCUCCUACCGAUUGAAUGAUCCGAUGAAUACCAUGGAUUGAGAGUACGAAUAGGUUCGCUUAUUUCUGCUGCUCGAGAAGUGGAGUAAAUCUUAUCAUUGAGAGGAAGGAGAAGUCGUAACA